GAAAGAAAAAAAAUAGAAAAGAAAGAUAGACAGAAAGAAAAGAAAGAAAGAAAAGAAAGAAAAGAAAGAAAAAAAGGAAGAAAGAAAAGAAAGAGAAAGAAGAAGAGAAGGGUUUUUCUUUUGUUGUUAUUCAUCUCCUUGUGAUCCUUCUUUGCUGCACCUCAGUGACUUAGUUUGUAUCCAGGCUCGCGUCUCUAGCACAUACUAGCCUAGGACCAGCACAAUAACGUUGUUAAGUGUUUGUUCAAUUUGCUUGCAACUAACGUGGUUCUAGUAUUUCCUUGCUUUAGCCCAAGUACAGCUCCACAUAUUUGACUACAGCUUGAUAGGGGUUGUUGCUUCGGCACCAAUAUACUUUUUCUUCAACGGUUGCAGACUUGUUGGUUGCCGUCACCUCCUAUUUGGCUUGGUAAGAACAUGUAAGAACUUGAAUGGACAAGUUUGAAUGAAAAUAAUAAUCUUCC
rnacentral:lncRNA from 1 species